ACCUUUAUAGUUUAUAAAAAAACAUUACACUGAAAAUGUAAAAAAAAUUAAUUUAAAGGUA
rnacentral:tRNA from 1 species